UACGAAGGGGGCUAGCGUUGUUCGGAAUUACUGGGCGUAAAGCGUGCGCAGGCGGCUUCUCAAGUCAGGGGUGAAAGCCCAGAGCUCAACUCUGGAAUUGCCUUUGAGACUGAGUGGCUUGAGUACGAGAGAGGUGAGUGGAAUUCCCAGUGUAGAGGUGAAAUUCGUAGAUAUUGGGAAGAACACCGGUGGCGAAGGCGGCUCACUGGCUCAUUACUGACGCUCAGGCGCGAUAGCGUGGGGGAUCAAACAGG
rnacentral:rRNA from 1 species